rnacentral:snoRNA from 1 species
UGCCAGAAAACUAUGAUGUGUUAUUUCCAAGAAUAUACCUGACUGCUUUUUGUGGAAACCUGACUAUUUCUGAGUUAAUUGUGA